rnacentral:lncRNA from 1 species
UUUCAUUGUUGAUUUCUCUUUCAUCUCCCAUGCUACCUACAACUUGACCAAGUUCUGUUUCUUCCAACUCAGAAAAGUCUUUUGAAUUUUACCUUUUGUACUCCUAUUUUCCAGGUGCUUAUUUUCUUUUACUUAAACCUUUAUAAUAUACUCUUACUUCUUGUUCCUGUCUCUAGUUUCUCUACCCUUCAAGUUGUUCACACAGCUACCUGCAUGAUCUUUCUAAAGUACAUACAAUGAUCUGACAACGAUAACUUCUUGGAUUUACAGUCUUUCUUGCUUCCCCACCACAUGAUGAAAUCCAGAAUAGUGGGCUCAGCAAUCAAGAUUCCCUACCCUCUGGAGCCUUCCUGUGUAUCCAGCAUCACAGUUCAUCACACGCCCAGUGCUCUGGCUACAUUCAGCUUGUUGUGAAGCAAACCACAGGCUUGCACAUUUGUAGUUCCUUCUUUCUGGAAUGUCCUUUCACUUAGAAUCCUAGUCAGCCUUAUUACUCAGACGUGGUGGUGUGUACCUAUAGUCUCAAUAACUUGGAAGGCUGAGGGAUGAGAAUUGCUUGAACUCGGGAGGCAGAGGUUGUAGUGAGCUGAGAUCGUACUAUUGCACCCCAGCCUGGGUGAUGGAGUGACACUCUGUCUCAAUAAAAAGCAACAAAAAAAAGGAUCCUAUUUAUCCUUUAAGACCCCACCCAAACAUCACCGUUGUAAAGCCUUAUCAGCUCCCCCCAGCAGAUUGAGUUGUUCUUUCCUGUGUUCUCACAGCACUCAACUUUUACUCUCUGAUGUAGCAGCUGUCCCAUUCUGUAGCAGUUGUUUACUUACCUUUUCGUCUGUUCCAGCCUUGAGCUUGUUAGGGAAAAGGACUAGACUUUAUUUAUUUCACUGAGCUUGUUGGGGAAAAGGACUAGACUUGAUUUCUUUCAUGUAACCUAGAGCAGUUGCUGAAUGAGCAUGAGAGGAUCCCAUUUGAAAUCUGUAGUGCAUGAAGAGCCGUCCAUCCUGUAGCUAUGUGAGACCUCAGACUGAUUUGGCAUAUUUAGUCUCUAGGUCUAAAAUCUUUAGAUCCUCCUGAAUUAAUGGAGUAAUAACCUUCAGAUACAGAGAAAUCUUGGAGAAUAUCUAGAUCGUUCUAAUCCUCUCUUGAAUUGCAGACUCCAGCGGGAGGAAGAAGAGGCCUUUGCCAGCAGUCAGAGCAGCCAAGGGGCCCAAUCCUUCAUAUUCUCCAAGUUUGAAGGAAAGAAAACCAACAAGAAGACCUGCAAGGUUACCACAGUGAAGAAAUCUUCAGUACGUCUUCCAGGGUCAGAUCAAAGAAGGAUAUCAUUGAAAUGGAUUCCAGGCGUGUGCCUCGAGACAAGCUGGCCUGCAUCACCAAGUGCAGCAAGCACAUCUUCAAUGCCAUCAAGAUCACCUAGAACGAGCCGGCGUCAGCAGAUGACUUCCUCCCCACCCUCAUCUACAUUGUUUUGAAGGGCAACCCCCCACGCCUUCAGUCUAAUAUCCAGUAUAUCACGCGCUUCUGCAAUCCAAGCCGACUGAUGACUGGAGAGGAUGGCUACUAUUUCACCAAUCUGGUGAGUAAGUGAGUUCUUGGCGUUGUGGAGAAGGACUAGGAAGGUGGUGGUUUUGGGGAUGUGAUAGGUCACUCAGGCCCGUGACAGGUGAAUGCUUCUGUGUGAGAAAGCAGCACGGCUGAGGAAGCUCACUUUGUAUCAGGGAGCCCAAAGACCAGGCCGUACAGACACUCCGCCUCCCAGCACUUGAUCAGAGAUUGUGUUCAUCCUACGGAAACAGAUGACAUGUGUUGGGCAUCACUCCCCACGGUCCUGGGUAGAAGAGUCCUUCACUUGGCAGGGCUUUUUCAACCAUGAAUAAGGCAAAUUAUAUAUAAGUUAAUAAUGCCAUUUCGAACCGAGACAGAUGGCAGCUAAAUGAAGUUUAAUUAAAGAAUGAGUGCUGGGGCCCUUUUUACUGGGUACUGCAUCUACUUUGACCACAAAAGACGAAGUGACCCCAACUUCAAGAACAGGCUUUGAGAUGGAAGAAAGAAACAGAAGCUUGCCAAGGAGAGAGCUGGGCUUUCCAAGUUACCUGACCUUAAAGAUGCUGAAGCUGUUCAGAAGUUCUUCCUUGAAGAAAUACAGCUUGGUGAAGAGUUACUAGCUCAAGGUGAAUAUGAGAAGGGCAUAGACCAUCUGACAAAUGGAAUUGCUGUGUGUGGACAGCCACAGCAGUUACUGCAGGCCUUACAGCAAACUCUUCCACCACCAGUGUUCCAGAUGCUUUUGACUAAGCUCCCAACAAUUAGAGAAUUCUAAGUGCUCAGAGCUUGGCUGAAGAUGAUGUGGAAUAAGAAACAAAUGUCAACAUAAUAAAAUCUCAGUUAAAAAUAUUUUAAAAAUUCUUGGUAGUUGAGCAGCUCUGGGGGAAUAAGGGCAAAUAUCCUUGUUAUGAACUAUACUGAAAUCUACCAAAGUUAAUGUUUACUUUGUGUAGGUCCAUUUGUCUAUUUUAUUUAUUUUUCCCAGUGAAAAGUGUAUUUUGAUAGAGA